CCUACGGGUGGCUGCAGUGGGGAAUAUUGCGCAAUGGGCGAAAGCCUGACGCAGCGACGCCGCGUGAGGGAUGACGGUCUUCGGAUCGUUAACCUCUGUCAGCAGGGAAGAACGGUCACUGUGCUAAUCAGCAGUGAAUUGACGGUACCUGCAAAGGAAGCACCGGCUAAAUCCGUGCCAGCAGCCGCGGUAAUACGGAGGGUGCGAGAGUUAAUCGGAAUUACUGGGCGUAAAGCGCUCGUAGGCGGUAUGUCAAGUCAAGGGUGAAAUCCCCGCGCUCAACGUGGGAACUGCCUUUGAUACUGGCAAACUGGAGUGUGUGAGAGGAUAGUGGAAUUCCAGGUGUAGGAGUGAAAUGCGUAGAUAUCUGGAAGAACAUCAGUGGCGAAGGCGACUAACUGGCACAUAACUGACGCUGAGGAGCGAAAGCGUGGGUAGCAAACAGGAUUAGAUACCCCUGUAGUC
rnacentral:rRNA from 1 species